GUGCUCACCUUGGCAGCACAUACACUAAAAUUGAAAUGGUACAAAGAAGAUUAGCAUGGCCCCUGCACAAGGAUGACAUGCAAAUUCAUGUAGCUUUCCAUGUUUUU
ensembl:snRNA U6 U6 spliceosomal RNA